UUGAUCUCAAAUCAGGUAGGACUACCCGCUGAACUUAAGCAUAUCAAUAAGCGGAGGAAAAGAAACUAACAAGGAUUCCCCUAGUAACUGCGAGUGAAGCGGGAAGAGCUCAAAUUUAAAAUCUGGCGUGCCUCUGGCCGUCCGAGUUGUAGUCUGGAGAAGCGUUUUCCGUGUUGGACCGUGUAUAAGUCUCUUGGAACAGGGCGUCAUAGAGGGUGAGAAUCCCGUCUUUGACACGGACUACCAAUGCUUUGUGAUGCGCUCUCAAAGAGUCGAGUUGUUUGGGAAUGCAGCUCAAAAUGGGUGGUAAAUUCCAUCUAAAGCUAAAUAUAGGCGAGAGACCGAUAGCGAACAAGUACCGUGAGGGAAAGAUGAAAAGCACUU
rnacentral:rRNA from 1 species